rnacentral:misc_RNA from 1 species
GAUGAAGAACGUAGCGAAAUGCGAUAAGUAAUGUGAAUUGCAGAAUCCAGUGAAUCAUCGAAUCUUUGAACGCACAUUGCGCCCGCCAGCAUUCUGGCGGGCAUGCCUGUUCGAGCGUCAUUUCAACCCUCGACCUCCCUUUGGGGAAGUCGGCGUUGGGGACCGGCAGCACACCGCCGGCCCUGAAAUGGAGUGGCGGCCCGUCCGCGGCGACCUCUGCGUAGUAAACCAACUCGCACCGGAACCCCGACGUGGCCACGCCGUAAAACACCCAACUUCUGAACGUUGACCUCGAAUCAGGUAGGACUACCCGCUGAACUUAAGCAUAUCAAUAAGGGAGGA